rnacentral:sRNA from 1 species
GCUGGGUGUGGCGACGCAUGCCUGUAAUCCCAGUGGCUCAGGAGGCUGAGGCAGGAGGAUCUUGAGUUCAAAGCCAGCCUCAGCAACUUAGCAAGACCCUGUCUCUA